rnacentral:rRNA from 1 species
UACGUAGGGACCAAGCGUUGUUCGGAUUUACUGGGCGUAAAGGGCGCGUAGGCGGCGUGACAAGUCACUUGUGAAAUCUCCGGGCUUAACUCGGAACGGCCAAGUGAUACUGUCGUGCUAGAGUGCAGAAGGGGCAAUCGGAAUUCUUGGUGUAGCGGUGAAAUGCGUAGAUAUCAAGAGGAACACCGGUGGCGAAGGCGCUGCUCUGGGCCGAAACUGACGCUGAGGAGCGAAAGCGUGGGUAGCAAACAGG